UUCAUUUUUGAGUUUUCAUGAUCUCCUCCCUCUCACUGCCAUGGAUACCUCCGUCAAAGAUCCGACGAAAAGUAGCCCAAAUGCGAGGUCGCUAGGGUUUCAAGAAUUAACUGGGUAUUUUGGAUUGCACUCCUCCUUGUGAUGAUCCAGCAUAUUGAGCGCCCCUUUACGUUGCUUGAGGAAGAACCACAGUCUAAAAGACACAGCCCUGUAUAAGAGUUGAAAAGAUGUUUAAAAAAAACUCAAACUAAGCUUCCAAGUCCACCUAACUUCAUUCUUUGCGUUUUACCAGAGAGGAAAGAUUCUUAUAUUUAUGGUACGGUAUUGUUAUUUACAGUGGCAUCCCACCUAUCCCUUGCUAUGAUCAUAUAAUCACUUUGUGAUAUUCUACAUGGCCUUGGAAAAAAAAAAGUGUCUCAAGUACUGUUUUCAGGAUUUAGCCACAAUGCAUUUUUCCUUCCAAGAUUUAUCAUCACUACCUUACCAAUGUGCUUCUCAAAAUCAAUUCUAAGGCAAGAACUAAAUCUUGAUAUCCAUAUCUCUACUUUUCUAAUUUGUGGACGCCUAUUGAUUUCUCCUGUCUGUUUCUGUUAGCCUUCAUAACUUGGAGGAAUAAAUUCUUUGUUGGCACUAUAGCACUCCUCACAUGCCCCUCUGAUAAAAGAUACUCCUACCAUGAUUUUGUGGACAUUCCUUCUGUUGCAGCGGUUUUAGGCUCUCAAAGUUGGCCACUUAAUUCAAGUUGGAUGAUUCAAGCAGAAACAAUUUGACACGUUUGACAACUCUUAAGUCCCUAAACUGAAGAGAUUUGAUCCUACACAUUCAGAUAGGUGAUCUCUACCAGGUAUUUACACAUUUGGAAACGCUCUUGAUGUUCAAAAUUAUUCAUAUGCCUUAGUACUUUGCUGAUGGAAUUGUUAAUUCAUUAUUUGGUUCAUCCACUCUGAAGAUUAAACUUGAGCAGUGCUAAUAUGUUUUACUUGGUAAUUGUCUGUACAAUUUGUUCUCCUGGCCAUGCUUACGAAGGAUAGUCAUUUCAUGAGAUGUACUUGGUCAUUGCUUUCUUGUAACCUAUAUAGAAUGGGAUCGCUUUUGGUAGAUGGAAGUUGUAAUCACAUCUUUUUAGAUCCAGUGUUAGAUAUCUGGAAGUUGUAAAGUGUGCAAGAACUCUUAGCAUGGAGUUGAUAUAUAGUGG